rnacentral:rRNA from 1 species
GACGAACGCUGGCGGCGUGCUUAACACAUGCAAGUCGAACGGAAAGGCCCUGCUUUUGUGGGGUGCUCGAGUGGCGAACGGGUGAGUAACACGUGAGUAACCUGCCCUUGACUUUGGGAUAACUUCAGGAAACUGGGGCUAAUACCGGAUAGGAGCUCCUGCUGCAUGGUGGGGGUUGGAAAUUUUAGGCGGUUGGGGAUGGACUCGCGGCUUAUCAGCUUGUUGGUGGGGUAGUGGCUUACCAAGGCUUUGACGGGUAGCCGGCCUGAGAGGGUGACCGGCCACAUUGGGACUGAGAUACGGACCAGACUCCUACGGGAGGCAGCAGUGGGGAAUAUUGCACAAUGGGCGGAAGCCUGAUGCAGAAACGCCGCGUGCGGGAUGACGGCUUUCGGGUUGUAAACCGCUGUAGCCUGUGACGAAGCGUGAGUGACGGUAAUGGGUAAAGAAGCACCGGCUAACUACGUG